CUCAUUCUCCUCGAUUAUUUGUUUUCCUCUCUUUCUUUGCACGAAUUAAAAGCAAAUCUGAAGUGAUUGUGUGCUUGAGACUGAAAAAAAAGUUUGUUUACAAAGCGCAGUUGAAGCUGUGUCUUGGUUGGGUCGAGGCGUCUCCAUAAGUAACAGUUCUUGGAUACUUGACCUCUCCUGAGUCUUGACAUCAUCUGAUCACGUGACCUGAGAGCAAGAUGGCGAAGCGACUUGAUGACGUCAUGACCCGCCUGGGGACCGGCCGCUGGAAUCUCUUGCACAUCAUCUCCCUCUCUUACUGCUUCUCCCUCAUCGCGUACCACAGCAUGGCCGGCGCCUUCCUCGCCCCCGAGUGGACUACGCCUGCCGUCGGCCCGAGGGCGCCCAUGACGCGGCCGCUGACGGUGCUACCUCGUCCGCUCUCAUCCCUAAGGGCGACGGCGCUGUGGAGGAAACUAAACCCGAGUGCAGUUACUUCGUGCUGAACUCGUCCUCAGGGCAGUUCGAGGAGGAGCAGUGCCUCGAGUGGGACUUCGACAACUCCACCUUCAGCUCUACUGUUGGUACUGAGCAUUUAGUUCCAGCUCGCCUGCGGCUGGGAGUACCUGCGCUCGACGUACCAGAGCAUCUACAUGUUCGGCGUCACGAUCGGGGCGCCGUUCAACGGGGUUCUGGCCGACAGGUAAGCGGUUCGCGUUCGGAACUGCCAGGUGGGCGGUUCUGGGCCUUUGCUCGUUGGGAUGGGUA